rnacentral:rRNA from 1 species
GCAAGUCGAACGAACUUAUUUAUAAGUUAGUGGCGAACGGGUGAGUAACACGUAAGGAACCAACCCUUUACACGAGGAUAACUACUGGAAACGGUAGCUAAUACUGGAUAGGACAUGACUUCACAAGGAGAGAUGUUUAAAGUGGCUUUCGGGCCACAGUAGGGGAUGGGCUUGCGUCGCAUUAGAUAGUUGGUGAGGGUAACGGCCCACCAAGUCAACGAUGCGUAGCUGAGCUGAGAGGCUGAAC